GCUCUCCCUGUCACCGCGGGACAUUCCAUAAUUUGGCACGUCAUUACUUUUCUUACGUACGUGUCUUUACGGUAUGUGUUCUUUGUUCCCACGAUUUGGUCGGUCUAAUUCCCACGAUCGAUGAGCUCCACACCUCUCCACUACCCGCACGUUUCCCUAUCGCGGGGUCGACGCCCUUCUCUCCCCUAGCCAUCAUGGCGUGUACCAAAGGCAGCCAUCGGGCCCUCUUCUUCUUUGCAAGUGGUGGCAGCAUACUGCUUCUCUCUCACUAGAGACGGGUGGCGGCGUGGUGGGGUUCAGAACCCUCCUCUGCAGCGAACAGCGUGGUGGAGUCAUGCCCUUAUCGCCCUCCUUCGGUGGCUGGUGGCGUGGAGGAGGUCCGCAGCCUCCUCUUCUUUCUAUGGGAGAAGCUGACGCGAUUGGUGACUGUGGUGAGUCCGCUCUCUCUCUCUCUGUGGAUGUGGCGACAACUGCAACGUCUAGGACGAGAUCGACCUGCGCCUCCUUUGGUUCCUACCACGGAUUCUCCGUUUGAUUUUGCUUGUGUGUAGUUGGGGAAUAAGGAGAGCAGAAAGGCUUGACUGAAAUUUUGGGCGUCUCUCCCGCAGAGGCGGAGUAGUCGAGCGCCGGCCUCCUACAGGGUGUGCAGCAGCUGGUCGCCGAAUCCCCUUAUGGUCAUCUCUGCGCCUUCCGUCAGCCCCAUCAUUGCUCCUUGUAGUUUUCCAGAUCUUCCCGCUCCCCCGAAAACAGAAGCAUCGUUCCCUGAUGUUUCGUUGACAAGGGCGAUGAGGGGCACGAGGAAGCUGGCAGGGCCAACCUUGGAUGUCAACGAUUGGUGAGAUGACUGUGGCUCCAACGAGCCCUUUUCCUCUCUUUUAUAAGUCCGUCUUGGAUCCUUCGUGUUGCAGCCGCUGCAUCGGAUUCCUCGAGAUCUUUGGCGCGCAGCCAUUUUGCUGGACUCCUUGCCGGCUGGCCGCCCGUUUCCUGCCUGGCGCAGGUGUAGACUGCUAUGCUUUUUUGUCUUCCUUAUUUUCGUCAUUGUGCAGCAGUGUCCGCCUCCUAGAGGUGUACGUGUGCUGGUUCUUCCGUUUCUUCUUCUGCUUUGUUUUUUUUCCUCUGACUAUUCUGUUCAUGUUCUGGUGUUUGUUGCAGAUUUUUGCGACCAUCAGCCCAUGCCUCACAUGGACCUUCAGUUUGAGAUGUAUAGUACUUAAUUUACUGUCAUAUGUAGCAUCUGAGUAAAUCAUAGGGAAAUCUGGGAUGUCUCCUUGACUAGAUAUGAACCGUGAUGUAUUCUUCAGAACUUCAAUUAUAUAAAGUAUAAAGAUACCAAUUUUUUGUUUAAA